rnacentral:rRNA from 1 species
UACGUAGGGCGCAAGCGUUGUCCGGAAUUAUUGGGCGUAAAGAGCUCGUAGGCGGCUUGUCACGUCGGAUGUGAAAGCCCGAGGCUUAACCUCGGGUCUGCAUUCGAUACGGGCUAGCUAGAGUGUGGUAGGGGGAGAUCGGAAUUCCUGGUGUAGCGGUGAAAUGCGCAGAUAUCAGGAGGAACACCGAUGGCGAAGGCAGCUCGCUGGGACGGUACUGACGCUGAGACGCGAAAGCGUGGGGAGCGAACAGG